UACGAAGGGGGCUAGCGUUGCUCGGAAUCACUGGGCGUAAAGCGCACGUAGGCGGGUUGUUAAGUCGGGGGUGAAAUCCUGGAGCUCAACUCCAGAACUGCCUUCGAAACUGACGAUCUUGAGUUCGGGAGAGGUGAGUGGAACUGCGAGUGUAGAGGUGAAAUUCGUAGAUAUUCGCAAGAACACCAGUGGCGAAGGCGGCUCACUGGCCCGAUACUGACGCUGAGGUGCGAAAGCGUGGGGAGCAAACAGGG
rnacentral:rRNA from 1 species